UCCAAAUUUCCGGAUGUGUGG
rnacentral:siRNA from 1 species